UAUGUCAUGUAGUUCUGUGACACUUCCCAGGGGAACCCAGAACCUCUGAGUCAAUGGAUGGAUUACAAGGAAAAAUGGUUUCAUCUGUGACAGAUGACAAACUUUUGUCUGCAUGUCUAUGACAGGCAGAUUAUGACUUGUAGGUAGCAGGGACCACCUCCCCAAUACAAGCUGGCUUCCAGAGUAGAGAAGUGUAGAAAUGUGAUAUCCUGCACUCUGGAUCCCUAAAACUCCUACUGGAAAAUUGUACAAUCUAACAGCUAAUGGAUCCAUCACCUAGUGGCCAGUCUACAGGGGAUGAGCCUUUAACUUAUUUAGGCAUAACUCUGGAGAAACUAAAAUCAACCUCAUGCCAUGAUAAAGCACUGAAGUAGAACUUUUAUGAAGGAUCCCAUAGAAAUGACAUUAUUAAUGUGUAUCAUGCCAGGAAUUCCAAUAAAAAGGAAUAAAUGGGCUCCCAAGCCAAUGGGGAAACAAGUAUCCAGAUAAGUAUAUACAGAAUAAAUACAAAUAAAUGCAAAGUGGCAAAAUAUAAGUAGUUAAUGAAGGAGAGCACUAGCACUUGUGGAGAUCAUUAAAGUAUCAUAUAGAAGGUGGUACUGGAAAAAGAGAGGAAUUCUAUGACUGGAGAUGAAGAAGGGCAGCCAGUAUAAGUCAUGGAGAUGGGAGAUGGAGUAUUUGUUAUUUAUAAGAAACGGAGAGAAGUUUGGUGUGGAAACAUGUUGGAUGGAAUUCUCCAAAAUGUCACAUUUUGAUACCACAUCAAUCAAUCACUCAACAGGAAUCUAAUAAAUAUCGAUUGUGCCUCUUCUGUAUGUUAAAGAGAUAAAGACCAAAAACCCAACUCAAAUACCCAGUUCUUGCUCCCAAAUGAAGCACUUUAUUCCAGAGGAAACCACAUACUAAGCACAUAAAGA